GAAGUCGUAACAAGGUUUCCGUAGGUGAACCUGCGGAAGGAUCAUUGAAUCUAUCAACAACCACACCUUUGUGAACCACUGAAAUGUCGGCCCCGUGUGUAGUCUUGCAAAAGGCUGUGCAUGGCGGUGUGUUCUUUCCCCUAACAAGGGAGAGAGCACGCCAGGCCUAUGCAUACAUACUUGUGUGUAUGCAUGGGUCGGCCCUUUUACUAACCAACCACUCCAAACUAAACCAAUCUGAAGCAAUUGUGUAGCCGGCUUGGCCGUCCUACACGUCUAACCAAGACAACUCUCAACAACGGAUAUCUUGGCUCUCGCAACGAUGAAGAACGCAGCGAAAUGCGAUACGUAGUGUGAAUUGCAGAAUUCCGUGAAUCAUCAAGUCUUUGAACGCAUAUUGCGCUCGAGGCAUCUGCCGAGAGCAUGUCUGCCUCAGCGUCGAUGUAACCCUCAUCCCACCACCCACAUUCGUGUGAGUGAUGGAAUGGAUCUGGCCGUCCCGGCAUUCUUAAGUGAAGGCCGGGUCAGCUGAAGCAUAGAGGCUAAACAAGGACCUAUAUGGGCCGCAUCUAGGUAGGCAGCUUACGCUCCAUAUUUAGGUGUUGGCUUUGGUGUUUGUGUAGCCCUCAAACAGGAACCUACUUACAUUUUCGACCUGAGCUCAGGCAAGAACACCCGCUGAACUUAAGCAUAUCAAUAAGCGGAGGAAAAGAAACUAACCAGG
rnacentral:rRNA from 1 species